rnacentral:rRNA from 1 species
GAUGAACGCUGGCGGCGUGCCUAAUACAUGCAAGUCGAGCGAACGGACGAGAAGCUUGCUUCUCUGAUGUUAGCGGCGGACGGGUGAGUAACACGUGGAUAACCUACCUAUAAGACUGGGAUAACUUCGGGAAACCGGAGCUAAUACCGGAUAAUAUUUUGAACCGCAUGGUUCAAAAGUGAAAGACGGUCUUGCUGUCACUUAUAGAUGGAUCCGCGCUGCAUUAGCUAGUUGGUAAGGUAACGGCUUACCAAGGCAACGAUGCAUAGCCGACCUGAGAGGGUGAUCGGCCACACUGGAACUGAGACACGGUCCAGACUCCUACGGGAGGCAGCAGUAGGGAAUCUUCCGCAAUGGGCGAAAGCCUGACGGAGCAACGCCGCGUGAGUGAUGAAGGUCUUCGGAUCGUAAAACUCUGUUAUUAGGGAAGAACAUAUGUGUAAGUAACUGUGCACAUCUUGACGGUACCUAAUCAGAAAGCCACGGCUAACUACGUGCCAGCAGCCGCGGUAAUACGUAGGUGGCAAGCGUUAUCCGGAAUUAUUGGGCGUAAAGCGCGCGUAGGCGGUUUUUUAAGUCUGAUGUGAAAGCCCACGGCUCAACCGUGGAGGGUCAUUGGAAACUGGAAAACUUGAGUGCAGAAGAGGAAAGUGGAAUUCCAUGUGUAGCGGUGAAAUGCGCAGAGAUAUGGAGGAACACCAGUGGCGAAGGCGACUUUCUGGUCUGUAACUGACGCUGAUGUGCGAAAGCGUGGGGAUCAAACAGGAUUAGAUACCCUGGUAGUCCACGCCGUAAACGAUGAGUGCUAAGUGUUAGGGGGUUUCCGCCCCUUAGUGCUGCAGCUAACGCAUUAAGCACUCCGCCUGGGGAGUACGACCGCAAGGUUGAAACUCAAAGGAAUUGACGGGGACCCGCACAAGCGGUGGAGCAUGUGGUUUAAUUCGAAGCAACGCGAAGAACCUUACCAAAUCUUGACAUCCUUUGACAACUCUAGAGAUAGAGCCUUCCCCUUCGGGGGACAAAGUGACAGGUGGUGCAUGGUUGUCGUCAGCUCGUGUCGUGAGAUGUUGGGUUAAGUCCCGCAACGAGCGCAACCCUUAAGCUUAGUUGCCAUCAUUAAGUUGGGCACUCUAAGUUGACUGCCGGUGACAAACCGGAGGAAGGUGGGGAUGACGUCAAAUCAUCAUGCCCCUUAUGAUUUGGGCUACACACGUGCUACAAUGGACAAUACAAAGGGCAGCGAAACCGCGAGGUCAAGCAAAUCCCAUAAGGUUGUUCUCAGUUCGGAUUGUAGUCUGCAACUCGACUACAUGAAGCUGGAAUCGCUAGUAAUCGUAGAUCAGCAUGCUACGGUGAGUACGUUCCCGGGUCU